UACGUAGGGGGCGAGCGUUGUCCGGAAUCAUUGGGCGUAAAGCGCGUGUAGGCGGCCCGGUAAGUCCGCUGUGAAAGUCGGGGGCUCAACCCUCGAAUGCCGGUGGAUACUGUCGGGCUAGAGUGCGGGAGAGGCGAGUGGAAUUCCUGGUGUAGCGGUGAAAUGCGCAGAUAUCAGGAGGAACACCGAUGGCGAAGGCAGCUUGCUGGGACGGUACUGACGCUGAGACGCGAAAGCCAGGGGAGCAAACGGG
rnacentral:rRNA from 1 species